CGGUAAUUCCAGCUCCAAUAGCGUAUACUAAAGUUGUUGCAGUUAAAAAGCUCGUAGUUGGAUUUCUGUGGGGACGGAGCGGCCGGCCGCAACUUGCGGUUCGAGCUAGCGCUUUCCCUACAUCCUGCCGCGAACCGUGCUACCAUUAAUUUGGUGGCGCCGGGGAUCGGCUCGUUUACUUUGAGAAAAAUAGAGUGUUCAAAGCAGGCCACACGCCUUGAAUAAGUUAGCAUGGAAUAAUAAUAAAGGACUUCGGUUCUAUUUUGUUGGUGUUCGGGACUGAAGUAAUGAUUGAUAGGGACAGUUGGGGCGGUCAGUAUUCCAAAGCGAGAGGUGAAAUUCUUAGACCUUCGGAAGACUAACAGCUGCGAAAGCGUUCCGCAAGGAUGUUCCCUUUGAUCAAGAACGAAAGUUGGGGGAUCGAAGACGAUCAGAUACCGUCGUAGUCUCAACUAUAAACUAUACCAGCUAGGGAUCGGCCAACGUUAAAUUAUUCGACUUGGUCGGCACCUUAUGAGAAAUCAAAGCAUCUGGGUUCCGGGGGGAGUAUGGUCGCAAGGCUGAAACUUAAAGGAAUUGACGGAAGGGCACCACCAGCCGUGGAGCCUGUGGCUUAAUUUGACUCAACACGGGAAAACUUACCAGGUCCAGACAUAGUAAGGAUUGACAGAUUGAUAGCUCUUUCUUGAUUCUGUGGGUGGUGGUGCAUGGCCGUUCUUAGUUGGUGGAGUGAUUUGUCUGGUUAAUUCCAUUAACGAACGAGACCCCAGCCUGCUAAAUAGCACGGUUGAGCUUUGCUCGGCGCGAGCUUCUUAGAGGGACUAUGAUGCGCGACAGCACAUGGAAGUUUGGGGCAAUAACAGGUCUGUGAUGCCCUUAGAUGUUCUGGGCCGCACACGGGCUACACUGGCGCCUGCAACGAGCAUAUCAGCUGGCCCGAGAGGGUCUUGGCUAAUCUUUUGAACCGGCGCCGUGCUUGGGAUUGACCAUUGCAAUUGUUGGUCAUGCAACGAGGAAUGCCUUGUAAACGCGAGUCAUCAACUCGCAUUGAAUACGUCCCUGCCCUUUGUACACACCGCCCGUCGCUCCUACCGAUGAAUGUUCCGAUGAAAUUUUCGGAGAGCGCUUGUGAAGUUGGUUAUGCCUUCCGAACGAGAGGCUCAAAGUCACUUAAAUCUGAACAUUUCGAGGAAGGAGAAGUCGUAACAAGGUAGCCG
rnacentral:rRNA from 1 species